rnacentral:tRNA from 1 species
GUCUCAGUGGCGUAGUGGUUAACGCACGGGCCCGAUUAGGUGCGAGACUUGGGUUCGAAUCCCGCCUAAGGUG